rnacentral:lncRNA from 1 species
AGAAACAAAAGAUACGUAUACCCCUAUAGUACACUAAUAUAGAUUUAAGGUUUAGAGUUUAAUGAGCAAGUUUGGGGUGGGUGUUAUGAUUUUUUUUAAAGUAAAAUUUAAAAUAAUAAUUUUAUAAAAUAGUUUCCAAUUUUAUUUUGGAUUUUAAAUAAAAUUGAAAAAAUAAAAAACAAAUCGAUAAUUUUUUUGAACUGAAUUUUUUAUAUAUUUAUUUAUAUUUAUAUCUCUAUAGAGUAAGUGUAUAAGUGUCUUUUAUUUCCUUAUUCAAACAUUUUUGGUCAUUUUCUUAUUUGAGUAUUUUAGUAAAAAAAAACUCCUUUUAGGGUAUUUUAGAAUUUUCCCUAUAUAUUUCUCUUCAUUUUUAUUAUUUUAUGCUUUUUCUUUCUUUUUUCUUUUCAUUAUGCUAUUAUUUUUUUGUCUCGUUAAUUAUGCUAUUAUGUAUGAGAAACAUUACAUAGACGAUAUUACAGCCGGCAAUUCUACUCCUUAUGAGAAUUCAUGUCUGACUGCAUCACCCUGAGUAGCCCUAUGAGAUCCAUUUCUGACGGUACUCCUUGCGCCAUGCUGAAGAUCUCUUGUAUGCAUUUUCUCUAAUUUUCUGAAUAAUUCGCAUUCUUCGGGAAUUGAAACCCGGACCUUUUCCUGUAGAAAUUGCAUUGUCUGAGAUUUGAACCCUAGACCUGGAUAUAGAAGCUUUUAAACCUUAACCACUAGGUCACGAUGCUUUCACUCUGCUAUUCUUUUAAUAAUCACUUUUUUGUAAUUUUUUUAAUAAUCACUAGUUAGAGCUUAAAU